GGAAUAUUGGACAAUGGGCGCAAGCCUGAUCCAGCCAUACCGCGUGGGUGAAGAAGGCCUUCGGGUUGUAAAGCCCUUUUGUUGGGAAAGAAAUCCAGCCGGCUAAUACCUGGUUGGGAUGACGGUACCCAAAGAAUAAGCACCGGCUAACUUCGUGCCAGCAGCCGCGGUAAUACGAAGGGUGCAAGCGUUACUCGGAAUUACUGGGCGUAAAGCGUGCGUAGGUGGUUGUUUAAGUCUGUUGUGAAAGCCCUGGGCUCAACCUGGGAAUUGCAGUGGAUACUGGGCGACUAGAGUGUGGUAGAGGGUAGUGGAAUUCCCGGUGUAGCAGUGAAAUGCGUAGAGAUCGGGAGGAACAUCCAUGGCGAAGGCAGCUACCUGGACCAACACUGACACUGAGGCACGAAAGCGUGGGGAGCAAACAGGAUUAGAUACCCGGG
rnacentral:rRNA from 1 species